rnacentral:rRNA from 1 species
GACGAACGCUGGCGGCGUGCUUAACACAUGCAAGUCGAACGGAAAGGCCCUGCUUUUGUGGGGUGCUCGAGUGGCGAACGGGUGAGUAACACGUGAGUAACCUGCCCUUGACUUUGGGAUAACUUCAGGAAACUGGGGCUAAUACCGGAUAGGAGCUCCUGCUGCAUGGUGGGGGUUGGAAAGUUUCGGCGGUGGGGGAUGGACUCGCGGCUUAUCAGCUUGUGGGUGGGGUAGUGGCUUACCAAGGCUUUGACGGGUAGCCGGCCUGAGAGGGUGACCGGCCCCAUUUCGACUGAGAUACGGCCCGGACUCCUACGGGAGGCAGUAGUGGGGAAUCUUGCACAAUGGGCGGAAGCCUGAUCCAGAAGCGCCGCGUGCUGGAUGACGCCCUUCGGGUUAUAUACCGCUUUCGCCUGUGACGAAGCGUGAGUGACGGUAAUGAGUACAUAAGCACCGGCUAACUACGUG